rnacentral:tRNA from 1 species
GGGGCUGUAGCUCAGUGGCAGAGCACUUACCUUGUGUGUAUGAGACACUGGGUUUGAUCCUCAGCACCACA